rnacentral:rRNA from 1 species
AGGAUGAACGCUGGCGGCAGGCCUAAUACAUGCAAGUCGAACGGAUCCUUCGGGAUUAGUGGCGGACGGGUGAGUAACACGUGGGAACGUGCCCUUUGGUUCAGAACAACUCAGGGAAACUUGAGCUAAUACUGGAUAAGCCCUUCGGGGGAAAGAUUUAUCGCCAUUGGAGCGGCCCGCGUCUGAUUAGCUAGUUGGUGGGGCAAAGGCCCACCAAGGCUUCGAUCAGUAGCUGGUCUGAGAGGAUGAUCAGCCACACUGGGACUGAGACACGGCCCAGACUCCUACGGGAGGCAGCAGUAGGGAAUCUUGCGCAAUGGGCAAAGCCUGACGCAGCCAUGCCGCGUGAAUGAUGAAGGUCUUAGGAUUGUAAAAUUCUUUCAGCGGGGACGAUAAUGACGGUACCCGCAGAAGAAGCCCGGCUAACUUCGUGCCAGCAGCCGC